AGAUGCAAGGGUGAUCUGAUUAUGAUAUCUGUUACUACAUUGAUCACCUAAGUUGAUCUGGCUGGGUAAGUGGGAGUCUCCUUCCUUCCUCACUGUUCCAUGUGUGUCCCUUCUGAGGCUGCUUGGUCAGCUGAUCUUAUGGAACAGAGAAUGACUGGUCGUUGGUCCUUUCUAGAACCUGUAAACAAGCUCUCAGGGUCUACAGCAUAGUUGCUGAUUCUUUCUGUUCUUUCCCUUUAUUUAGAGAAAAGAAAUGUAAUGUAAGUACUUUGUCUU
rnacentral:snRNA from 1 species